UACUUUUAUAUGAUUGAAACGGAACAUUACUCCACUAUUAAGCAUAGGCGAACAGAGUGGCCAGAGAAGUGAAUAUAUAUAUAUAUAUAUAUAUAGGAUGUUAAUUGUUAAAUGGUAGUGCAUGAGAAAAUUGUGAAUCAGGGAAUACGAACAAGUGAUGAAAUGUCAGAAUAUCCUUGGAUUGAUGACGCUUCCCCACAUUAUUACCCUACUUACUCAAUAUGUACACACAGUUCUUAGAAUCAAAAUUUGUGCUGCGCAUAAUACCCAAAUAGCCUUAUCCGAUUCUGGUUUACUUCGAUUUCAUUCAACAUAUAUAGAGGAAAAUUGAUACCAGAUUCCCUUAAAAACCAACUAAAUGAUUCCCUUGCAACUUGGACUCCCUUCAAGAGUACCUUUUAUUGACAUUCACGCAGCAAAGACCUACAUACAGUACAACUAGGUGAAGUGCAGUGUGCUGCCUACCACUUGGAAACCUACAUUCCAAAUAUACCUUUUCAGGAAAGAAACAAGCAGAGACCUUUAGACCACAUGGUGAAGAAAAUGACGUGUUUAGUGUAAGGCACUCCCUUGAGCUUCUUCAAAAAACUCCAAGUAAUAAAAAUACUAACAAAUGUCUAAAAUGAACGUAGACACUUCUUCCCGUUUGUUACUUGAUAGACAUGUGAAUCAAGAGAUUUGUCUCUUCUGAUCUGAUGUGUGGAGAUAUGAUUUAGAAGACAAAUGGCCAUUGAUCUAAGAAUCAACCCUGGUGACUGAUAAAAUACAUGCCCAUGUAAAAUAGGUUAUGCUGUUAAAAACACAUCGAUUGAUUUUCAAAUUCACUGUCAUUAUUGCUCAUUAUUCUCUAAAAUGCACCCCUUUUAGAUAAGUCCAUUCCAUUUACAAACCAGUAUUUGGAGCAUCGGAAUAAACCCGGAAGAAAAGUGCAUAUCCAUUUUACGUAUCAGAUUCAAAAACUCCAACCAAUCAAGACAUAAGAUCUUUCAAGAGUGAACAGUACAGUCAUGUCGAUUAAUUGACUGAGAACAAACUUGGGUCAUAGAUUAUCAUCACCAUAAAUUAUGCUAUGGACGUCAAGGACAGAAGUUUCACGAAUACACUAAGAUUCACUCCUGAAUUUGAAAUGCGAGUGAAAUUAUGCAUAAACAAAAGGGAAAAUCAAAUUACUUCUUCACGAAGACAGAAUGAAAACAUGAGAUAUAUAACAUGCCUUGUGAAAAGGAAUUCCUUACCGACGCGCUAGAAUAUCAUUACUUAAACACAGGGGCGAAGAAUUAAAGGUUGGAAAGCAUUCUGUUAAGGGUAAAUAGGUUAUUAUAUGGAAAGGAAAAAAAGGAGCAAAACCACAAAAAAGAAUAACCUGCGCUUGGAAGGAUACUACAAUAAUCUCAAUAAGAAUCUAUUUCAUAAACUUCUUAAAUACUUGCUCACGAGAAAGAAUAAAUAAUCUUUUUCAAAAGGUAAAAUAUAUUUACAUGGAAAUUAAAACAACAUAAGCAUUUUAACAAGUUUAAUUCUAAAAAAUUUCAAAUUAAUUAAUACGUAAGCUAAUUAUAAAUUCUGAAAAAGAAUUCUAUAAAUGUUUACAGAAAAAAUUAUCAUACUGUAUCAUCAGUUUUGUUUGGAAGCAGACAAUUUCCAAAAAACAUAAUUGUUAUUUUAAAAAAAAUCUAAAAAUGUUGAAAACACGAGAUUGUUAGUUCAGAAUAAACUCAAUCAAACACUACAAAAGUUACUUCAGACUGGUUAAUCAACGCACAAGGAUAGAACAAUGAAAAGGAAAAAUUAGCAGAGUAUUGUACAGAAGUAACCAGCAGCAAACAAUAAUGCAUUCUGUUCAGUACGGCUAAUAUAUCAGAUUUAUUUUUUCUCUCCUUUCAUAGCAAAAUCACAAAUCAGAACAUUGGCUGGCAUCUACAACAUCUCUGUAGGCAUUCUCUAGGAAAAACACGAAAGGAACCAAAACAAAAUUAUUUCAAAUCACACCAGGAGCAUCUAGAUUUAAAUCCUCUCCUGGAAAAAACAAAAACACUUUGAAAGAAAUGUUGAUACAGAGAAUUCGUCAGCGUUAUAUAGCUAACAAAUCUUGCGGCACGAAAAAGGAGGAAGCAUCUAAAGAGUAUUAUUAUUGAAAAGAAGAAAGAGAAAAUGAAAUCGUCGGUAAAGAGAGGCAAAGUGAGCGCUGGAUGCAGAGGUUUAUCGACCGAUUCUUGCUUUGUGUUCUUCCACAGCCAAAUUCAGGAAGAGAUCGAUGAACCGCUGCCUCCAGUGACUUCACCUCAUCUCCAUACGCAUCAAAAACAAAUAAUAUCUCCCAGCAAAAAUCAAGACAACAAACAAACACGAGUUCGUGAUUUUUCCUUUUUCAUUUUUUUGCUUUUUUCGUUUAUGCAGUUGAGAAAUUGAACGCAAAAAGACGGUAGCUAAAAACAGCAAAUAGGAUCCGUGAUGUGUAAAACAUAGAUCUGAACAUAAAGAGAAAGGAAGAGGCAAUUUCCCUUCCAUCACAAUCCACACACAUAGACGGGCGAAAAUACGAAAUAUAAGAAACUAAGCAAUAAAUAGUAUUAAAGAAAAGGAAACAAUAGGAUGCAGAUAGAAGAGAGAGAAAGAGAAAUAUAUGUGAUAUGAACCAGGAAUCUGUGGAGUCACCAUUGCACCAUUGCCGCAAGUGUGUGUGUAUCGUUUUCUCUCUCUUUCUCUCUCUUCUUCUUCUUGUUUUGAGUCACAGAUCCACAGUGACUUUUCAAAGGCCAAUCAUUCUCCAUUUUUUUGUUUCUUUUAUCGGGGCAUCAUAAUUACUAUUCCAUCCCUCUUUUCCAAACCCAAAUUUUGC
rnacentral:lncRNA from 1 species